rnacentral:rRNA from 1 species
CAUUAAGUGAACCACCUGGGGAGUACGAUCGCAAGUUUGAAACUCAAAGGAAUUGACGGGGGCCCGCACAAGCGGAGGAACAUGUGGUUUAAUUCGAUGAUACGCGAGGAACCUUACCUGGGCUUAAAUGCAGGUUGCAUUAUCGGGAGACCGGUAUUCCCUUCGGGGCUACCUGCAAGGUGCUGCAUGGUUGUCGUCAGCUCGUGCCGUGAGGUGUCGGGUUAAGUCCCAUAACGAGCGCAACCCUUACCGUUAGUUGCCAUCAGGUAGAGCUGGGGACUCUGACGGGACUGCCACCGUAAGGUGAGAGGAAGGUGGGGAUGACGUCAAAUCAGCACGGCCCUUAUGUCCAGGGCUACACACGUGUUACAAUGGCCGGUACAAAGGGCAGCUACCCCGUGAGGGGAUGCUAAUCUCUAAACCCGGUCUCAGUUCGGAUUGGAGUCUGCAACCCGACUUCAUGAAGUUGGAUUCGCUAGUAAUCGCGCAUCAGCCAUGGCGCGGUGAAUACGUUCCCGGGCCUUGUACACACCGCCCGUCAAACCAUGGGAGCUGGGGGUACCUGAAGUCUGUGAUCCUGAUUAUUUGGGAAGCGGCCUAGGGUAAAACCAGUGACUGGGGUUAAGUCGUAACAAGGUAACCAAGGGCGAA